CUAAAAUUACUUAAGCCUAAGCCUAAUCCUAAUUACUAAAGGUGACAAAACACAAACAGCAAAAUGGCUCAAAGGAAAAGUAACACGGGCCUACUAGCAGGGGGUGUGAAUGGUGAAGUGCCAUAGGCCCUAUCAAAUCCAUACUGCAUCUACUGAAAGCAAGUAACGAAAAGGAAAAAAUAAACAGAAAAAAGCGCUUAUCAAACGCGCUUAUUCACAAGCGGAAAGGCUCUCAAGUCUCAUAUGGAGAUUGUACCUGAAGUUCACAACCGAUUAUGCAACGGUAACCAAUAACAUCAUCCAAAAUCCAAUACAUCAUCAUGGCAAAGGAAUCAAAGUGUAAGCAUAAGGAUUAAGAACUACCUGGCGAAGACGACGACGGAGGUGGCGACGAUGAUGACGAACACGAGCACAACUUCUAAACGCCUCUCUUCCUCUUCUCGCACUGUUGGAGCGAGCUGGAAGCGUAUGAGCGAUGACGAUCUGCGAGCUUCGAAGCUUCCGGUCGUGGCGGCGAUGAUGACGAAGAUCACCGGUAUGCUUCCGAUCCACUUUUGAGCGUCUCUCUUCCUCCUCUCGUAAUGUUGAAAGGAUUGGAAAAAUGUGAGCGAUAACGAUCUUCAAGCUUUGAAGCUUCCGGCGGUGGCGGUGGCUUAGCUCUGCUGUGUAGAGCUUCGAGUGAUGAAGCUCUCACAACAAUGGAAGAUGAGCGUAUACUGAAGGUGAGAAUUGAGUGCAAAGUGCUUUGGGAAUGAGGGAAAAAUUUCUGAACCCAAUGAUUGGCAAUGAUUGCCUCUUAUAUAGCACAAUCCAAGAGGGUAGUUUGGAGAAUUAAGUCUGAAUCAUCCAGCUGGCACCUAAGUGAAUGAGAAGGACAUGGUUGCUGAAUUGGUGUUGCUCAUUCCCUCUACUGUGAACUACCUCAAUGCAUUGCAAAGCUUGUGAUUUUCAUAACUUCCAUAGGUUGGAUUGACUUGUCAUGGUGAAAAGAAGAGCUGCCAUUGGCCAUUGGGAUUAUCUUGGACUGUCUACUCAGGGUCUGCACUAUAGUUCACCCUUGAAGCAUGACAUUUUUGGAUGCAGUAGCUUCUGGUAUGUAUGCAUUGGACCUGUUAUUUUGCUUGCUACCACACAAUGCUUCUAGCCUUACUGUUGAUGCUGAAUGGUUAUGGAUAUGCAGGCUUGGUUUCUUUGUAGCAUGGCAUUGCAACAGCAUUUAGUUAGGUUAUUCUGACUUGUGUUUCAAUAUGGUUCGGCAACAUGAUGCAUUGACUCAUGACAUAGUCUUAAUCCAAAUCCCAUACAUUUUUGAUUGGUGGCUUAAUGAUGCAACUGAUGUGAUACACGCAGGCUUUGAGUUGGUUUUCCUCAUGGUUUCACAGGUUCAUGGCAAAAUUAUCUUGCAACUUGGUUAUGUGCAUUCAGCAGGUAUAAUGCCUUGUUCCCUUUUUUAUGUGCAGUAGGUGUGACAUUUAUGAGGAUUAGAUGGUCAACUGCUAGCUUUGGGAAGGUUGUACCACAACUCUGCAACAGGAUAUGUGUUGGAUUGCAGUUCAUAUUUGUGUUACAACUGUUCCACUUUAUUCUUUCCUUGCAUUGAUUUGACCUUGCUCAUUUGGUUGGUGUUCAGGGCUGCUACAACAGGGUGCUCAUGAUGAUGGUAUGAGGCCAAGUGCAGGUUUUUGGUGGUAUUUAAAUGCAGAAUUUUUGCUGUAUUUUAUGCAGAAUUUUGGUUUUGGAAUGCAGAAUUUUUGCUGUAUUUUAUGCAGAGUUUUUGUGUGUUGUUGCAGAAUUUUUAUGCAGAAUUUUUGUGUGUUUUAUGCAGAGUUUUUGUGCAGAAUUUUGGUCAUGUAAUGCAGAAUUUUUGAUGUGUUUUAUGCAGA